UACGUAGGUGGCGAGCGUUGUCCGGAUUUAUUGGGCGUAAAGCGCCCGCAGGCGGCUUGGUAAGUUUGGGGUGAAAUCUCCCGGCUCAACUGGGAGGGUGCCUCGAAAACUGUCAGGCUUGAGGCAUGGAGAGGGAUGCGGAAUUCCCGGUGUAGUGGUGAAAUGCGUAGAUAUCGGGAGGAACACCAGUGGCGAAGGCGGCAUCCUGGCCAUGUCCUGACGCUCAGGGGCGAAAGCUAGGGGAGCAAACAGG
rnacentral:rRNA from 1 species